GGUAAGAUGGCUGAAUGCUUAAAGUGGUGGGCUGUAGACCAUAUAUGGAGGUUUAAAUCCUUUUCUUAUCA
rnacentral:tRNA from 1 species